AUUGAACGCUGGCGGCAUGCUUUACACAUGCAAGUCGAACGGCAGCGCGGGCUUCGGCCUGGCGGCGAGUGGCGAACGGGUGAGUAAUUCAUCUGAACGUGCCCAGUAGUGGGGGAUAGCCCGGCGAAAGCCGGAUUAAUACCGCAUACGACCUGAGGGUGAAAGCGGGGGACCGAAAGGCCUCGCGCUAUUGGAGCUGCCGAUGUCGGAUUAGCUAGUUGGUGGGGUAAAGGCUUACCAAGGCGACGAUCCGUAGCUGGUCUGAGAGGACGACCAGCCACACUGGGACUGAGACACGGCCCAGACUCCUACGGGAGGCAGCAGUGGGGAAUUUUGGACAAUGGGGGCAACCCUGAUCCAGCCAUGCCGCGUGCGGGAAGAAGGCCUUCGGGUUGUAAACCGCUUUUGUUCGGGAAGAAAUCCUCUGGGCUAAUACCCCGGGGGGAUGACGGUACCGGAAGAAUAAGCACCGGCUAACUACGUG
rnacentral:rRNA from 1 species